UCCAGACUCCUACGGGAGGCAGCAGUGGGGAAUAUUGGACAAUGGGGGGAACCCUGAUGCAGCGACGCCGCGUGGGUGAAGGAGCGUUUCGGCGCGUAAAGCCCUCUCGGCAGGGAAGAAGGGGGACGGUACCUGACUAAGAAGCCCCGGCUAACUACGUGCCAGCAGCCGCGGUAAUACGUAGGGGGCAAGCGUUAUCCGGAUUUACUGGGUGUAAAGGGGGCGCAGACGGCAGCGCAAGCCAGGAGUGAAAGCCCGGGGCCCAACCCCGGGACUGCUCUUGGAACUGCGCGGCUGGAGUGCAGGAGGGGCAGGCGGAAUUCCUGGUGUAGCGGUGAAAUGCGUAGAUAUCAGGAGGAACACCGGUGGCGAAGGCGGCCUGCUGGACUGCAACUGACGUUGAGGCCCGAAAGCGUGGGGAGCAAACAGGAUUAGAUACCCCCGUACA
rnacentral:rRNA from 1 species